rnacentral:rRNA from 1 species
UCAUGCCAAAUAUCCUUCAGGGGAUAGCGCAGGGAUGGACCUAUGGCGCAUUAGCUAGUUGGCGGGGCAACGGCCCACCAAGGCAACGAUGCGUAGCCGGCCUGAGAGGGCGGACGGCCACAUUGGGACUGAGACACGGCCCAGACUCCUACGGGAGGCAGCAGUAGGGAAUUUUCGGCAAUGGGGGAAACCCUGACCGAGCAACGCCGCGUGAGCGAAGAAGGCCUUCGGGUCGUAAAGCUCUGUUGUAAAGGAAGAACGUCGCAUGCAGGAAAUGGUGUGCGAGUGACGGUACUUUACCAGAAAGCCACGGCUAACUACGUGCCAGCAGCCGCGGUAAUACGCAGGUGGCGAGCGUUAUCCGGAAUCAUUGGGCGUAAAGAGGGAGCAGGCGGCCGCAAGGGUCUGUGGUGAAAGACCGAAGCUAAACUUCGGUAAGCCAUGGAAACCGGGCGGCUAGAGUGCGGAAGAGGAUCGUGGAAUUCCAUGUGUAGCGGUGAAAUGCGUAGAUAUAUGGAGGAACACCAGUGGCGAAGGCGACGGUCUGGGCCGCAACUGACGCUCAUUCCCGAAAGCGUGGGGAGCAAAUAGGAUUAGAUACCCUAGUAGUCCACGCCGUAAACGAUGGUCACUAAGUG